rnacentral:rRNA from 1 species
GAUGAACGCUGGCGGCGUGCUUAACACAUGCAAGUCGAACGAAGCAAUUUUGAAACUUCGGUUUCAAAAUUGACUUAGUGGCGGACGGGUGAGUAACGCGUAGGUAACCUGCCUUAUACAGGGGGAUAACAGCUGGAAACGGCUGCUAAUACCGCAUAACACAGUGAAGUCGCAUGACUUUAUUGCCAAAGAUUUAUCGGUAUAAGAUGGACCUGCGUCUGAUUAGCUAGUUGGUGAGGUAAUGGCUCACCAAGGCGACGAUCAGUAGCCGACUUGAGAGAGUGAUCGGUCACAUUGGGACUGAGACACGGCCCAAACUCCUACGGGAGGCAGCAGUGGGGAAUAUUGCACAAUGGGGGAAACCCUGAUGCAGCGACGCCGCGUGAGUGAUGAAGUAUUUCGGUAUGUAAAGCUCUAUCAGCAGGGACGAAAAAAGACGGUACCUGACUAAGAAGCCCCGGCUAACUACGUGCCAGCAGCCGCGGUAA